UGAGUGUUAUUUGGAUCAUCCAUGCCCUAAAAUGGAUCAUAUUUAUUAUUUUUCAAAACCCUAGACACAACCUUCAUCUGUAUUUUCUCCUAUCGAUCCUCCAUUUUGGUUCAAGUGAUUUGAAUGAUUCAACAUCAGGUGGAUGAUUGUGAAGCUGAUUUCUAAUUAGGGUUUCUAGAUCUCAUCACAAAUCCCGCCCCCGUCUGCUUUCUCUCUCUUUUUCCGAUUCACGAAGAUGAAGGCGAUGGCUAUUCAAGCCGAUUGGAUCAUGUGGUACCGACGCUGAUAUGCAUUGUUAUCAUUCAAUCGUAUUUCGUUCAAUGACAUCAGAAGCACCAAUCAAUCGAAUUUCAUUCAAUCGGUACCGUGUCUCAUUCAAUCUGCAUAAUUCAGUUUGUAAUUAUUUACGAUUUUGAAGUGUUUGUGAUGAAAUCCUUUUUCUCUGAUCGAAUCAUCUACAAUCCAUUCUUAUAAUCAUCAGGUAUUUACUUUUCUAUCUCUACAUAUUAAUGGUGUUUUUAGUUAGCUCUUUGUUAGUUGUUCUUUCAUAUUUCUAUUAAUCAUGGGUAUUUGAUUGUUGGUGUUCUUUCGGGUGUUGCAUAUAAGGGACUUUUGGCCGAAGGGCUCUUUGCAAGUCCUACAAUGAUUCUUGGUUGCUAGAGUGGAUUGCGAUAGAUUGAUGUUCUGUAAGCUUAAUAGAGAAGUUGAAAGACAAUUAUAUCAGUUUAAGGCUUGCUCUUGGCGUUACAAACCAACCCGUUGAGACGUUUUGUGACGGAGAUGCAGCUGCAAAUGCAAACUCGAGGUCAACUGUAAAACAUUUGUAGAGCAUCUCCAAAGAGCAUAAGUGAAAGCAUAACUGUAGUCAUACGAGGGGAAAAGUCACACCUAUGAGUUUGUUCAGUUUGUUAGUGAGUUGGUUCUGGUGACUGCCCUCGAAGCCACCAUAUCAUAGUCCAUGGUGUCAUAGAGAUCUUUCCCCUGGAGAACAAUCCCUUCGCCUCCAGGAAGAAAAAAUCUUGAAUAAUAUUUGCCCAAGUUUUUUCUUCAGGCGUGGUGUUCUACAGCUGAUUACGUAAAAUAACUAGAAUCCAUUUCUCUUCAGGUAAGCUAUUUUUUUAAUUUUAUUCAUUUAAUAUUAAGAUAGCCUCAAUUUCAUAAUCACAUCCAUUAAUCCCUCUCUGUUCUGGUGAUAUUUUUGUUGAUAUACAUGAAUUUUUUUGUUGAUGAAUAUGAAAUGUAGGGUGUGAAAAUUUGGUGAAAUUUUUUGUAUUGUUUUGAGUAAACUAUGAUUGGGGAUUCUGUUUUCCCUAGGAAGAGGUGGAAUAGAAUUCACUUGAAGUUGUAAGCUUUGGCUAGCAGAUUUUUAUUAGACUGAUACGUGUAUUGUUGUUGAGGCAUUUGGAUGCUAAAUAGCUGUUUGGUGAGUGAAGUUUUGGGUACUAAUUGAAAAAUUAGGUGCCACAGUUUCAGUUGUAGGAGAUGGUUGUGAUAUGAACAUCUUGCCUUUAGAGAUAAUUGAUCAUGCAUAUGUUAUAGUUGAAAUCUUAUGGUGUGAGGAGUUCUUGCAUAGUAGUCAUUGAAUUAUAUGAUAAAUUGACUUAUUAAGCUUAACCUUUAGCUGUCAUAUGCUUAAUCAAGAAUAGGAAAGGAAGGGUUUUUCAAAAAUAAAAAAAAAAAUUAUAUGAUCAUAUAGUUUUGAAGUGGAAUCUGUUAUUGAGUUGCAUAGGAAAACUAUGACCACAAGAACAUGAUUGAUUACAUGCAACUAAGGAGGAUUUCAAAUAAAAAGAAGGUAUUUUAGGGUUCUUUUUUAUUCAUUUUAUAAGUACAGAUGAGCUAACUUUGCUGUUAGUUUCGCCUGAUUUCUUAUAUUUGUUUUGAUUUGGUAAAAAAAGGUUUAAAAGAAUAUGAUUUAGUUUUUGGAAAGUUAGUUUAAGAUUUAUUCUUCUUUAGAACCUUUGGCUUUUAAAUAAGUCUUUAUUUGCAGGAUUGUUUUUUUUAAUCAAAGAUAGAAGUCUGAUCUGAUGUUUUUCUGUGUUUGGUUUUUAGGGGGAGAUGUUCUUUACCAAUGGUAUACCAAAGUUUAAAGUCAAGAUUGUGCUAUGUUUGUCACUUCUUUUGUCUUGCAGGAGUUAGCUUUUACUUUUAGUGUGUGUAUGGUUACGAGUGAUAAUAUCAACACAGAUCGAGCCAUUACAAAGGAAUGUGGCAUUCUCACUUCCACUUUGGUAGAACAUAUUAUAUUAGCACCAAGAAUUCAGUUACACACACAUUCAUUCAAGUAAUGGAGACUGGAUUAUCGUGCGAUUAACAUGUUAAAUGGGUCAAAUGGGUCGAUAUCAGCCAAGAGUCAUCAUUUUACAGUUUCCAUAAUAUGUUUUUUUUGUUAAAAUAAGCAACACAAUCAUAUGACACUGUUAGUGGGUCAACAUGACUUAACCAAACAGUUUACAACUCUACUUGAUAGAAGCCCAUUUCAUAUUGAAUCUAUUUUGACGAAUAAAGUGUUGCCUGGGCCCGCUCAUUUAACUGCCUGUAAUUAAAUUUUUAGUGCUUUUCCGUGAGUACAGGUGAUGGUGACAUCGUGUCCAACAUACAAGUUGUAUGGCCCAGUGUGAAGUUGUUGCAUUCAUGGGUGAUGGUACUAACGAUGCUCCGACUUUGCAUGAAUCUGACAUUGGAAUUUUUAUUGGAAUAACAGCAAUAGAGAUUGUUCAACAAAUACACUUGCCUAUAUCUUUUGACUUGCCAAUGGUUCUAAGUAAGCCUCCAAAGGCAUGCUCCACACUUGAAGUUUACAAGGUACCAUGGACCCUUUAGCCUUGCUGGAGAAGAUAUCAAAGAAUGGAAUAUCACAAGAUGUUUGGCGAAGAAGAACCGGUCUAUAACCACUGGGUGGGGUUAAGCCCGAACCGGUUUUUUUUAAUAAUCGGUUAAAAAAUGGUCAUGGAAUCUCCACAACAAGUUGGUAGAAUGUCAAUGCAAUGGACCACAUGUCUUUCAUGGAAUGAUCAAUGUGAUGUGAUGAACCAAUAGAGGUUAGGUAUGUGCCUAUCGUACCGGUAACGAUGAGAUUGUUCAAUAAAUACCCUCGCCUAUAUCUUUCGACUUGCCAAUGGUUCUAAUUAAGCCUCCAGAGGCAUGCUCCACACUUGGAGUUUACAAGGUAUCGUUGACCCUUUAGCAUUGCUCGAGAAGAUAUCAAAUAAUGGAAUAUCACAAGAUGUUUGUGUAAACGAUUUGGAACCGUCUGCAUUUGAGUGUUUCCUCUGAAAAGAUUAGAACAACGCAUAAUUGUUGCAAGCCGUGAAAAAUGUGAUGUUUUUAUGUCUGGAAGGAACCAAGAAUUCCCAAUAGUUUGUCAAAAUGAUCGUGGAACACUAACUUAAGAAAUGUUUGAUGAAUGAAUCUGGUUGGAUUAGUGAAAUGUAUGGUUAUUCUUUUGGUGCACCAAAGCCGAAGUUGUACCAUGUUAUAAGCGACAAGAUAUUAAUAUACCCUGGGUAUGUUCCUGAACCUGGUGUUAACUAUUGGGUUUUCCAUUACGGGUUAGAGUUCAGUGUCGGGAUUUGGAGCUUUGACAAAGCGAAGUGGAGAACCAUUGAAAUGAUUACAUGGAAAUGGUGGAGGUGAUUGAACUCCACAGAUCGCAAAAACACCAGUACCAUCCAUCAAAUAUUGCAUCCAAGACUCAAGUGGCACUACAAAUUCACCACAUAAAAAGUCAAAAUUUUGACGUAUUAUAUGAAAUUUUGACAGUUGUGAGGUUAUUGGCACUGGCAAAGUAUUUUCAGCCCUUAAAGGCAAAUUGACUCGAAUGGUCUUUAGUGUAGAAAUGGAUGAAAUCUUAGUUGUGUACUUGACUGUGCGAAUUGAGAAGCCAACCACUUAUGAGCUGACUAAGGAUGUCAACAAGUAAGUCUUGAUUGAUAAUUUGUUAUUAAAACUUUUGUUCCAUGUGCUUUCUCUGGUGAAUACGGGGAAACAUGUGGAGAAGACGUUCAUCUCUUGCCAAUUCGCACAAACUGUUUGGCAUGUAAUUGCCUAAUGGUGUAAUGUCCCAAGCUUUUAUGUGUUUCAGUUCCGAGAUCUCUUGGAUAUGCCUGAAUUUUACCAUGGUUCGACGAAAAACAUGUUUUUUUUCAUGCUAUCAUUCUUACGAAAAUCAUGAGUAUCUGGACGAUGCGAAAUAAGAUCGUAUUUAGGGGGUGUUUGGCUUAGCUUUUUAAAUCAACUUAUUGAGUUAUUGGCUUUUUGGAAAAGUCAUAAUGGAGUGACUUUUUGGAGCUUAUUGACUUUUCCCCUCACAUACACCCUCAAUCCCAACCAUCAUUUAACUUUUCAAAAAACCAGUAAGUCAAUAAGUUAUUUCAAAAAGUUUAGCCAAACAUGCCCUUAAUCAGAGUUCAACAUCAAUGCCAAAAGUGAUUGAAGAAGUCAAAGCCGUUACAUUCCUUCUGGUAAAAAAAAAAAAAAUAGAUCGCAAGAAGCUUCAUUAACAUGGAA